CACAUGCAGUCGAGCGGUAGCACAGAGAGCUUGCUCUCGGGUGACGAGCGGCGGACGGGUGAGUAAUGUCUGGGAAACUGCCUGAUGGAGGGGGAUAACUACUGGAAACGGUAGCUAAUACCGCAUAACGUCGCAAGACCAAAGUGGGGGACCUUCGGGCCUCAUGCCAUCAGAUGUGCCCAGAUGGGAUUAGCUAGUAGGUGGGGUAACGGCUCACCUAGGCGACGAUCCCUAGCUGGUCUGAGAGGAUGACCAGCCACACUGGAACUGAGACACGGUCCAGACUCCUACGGGAGGCAGCAGUGGGGAAUAUUGCACAAUGGGCGCAAGCCUGAUGCAGCCAUGCCGCGUGUGUGAAGAAGGCCUUCGGGUUGUAAAGCACUUUCAGCGGGGAGGAAGGCGUUAAGGUUAAUAACCUUGUCGAUUGACGUUACCCGCAGAAGAAGCACCGGCUAACUCCGUGCCAGCAGCCGCGGUAAUACGGAGGGUGCAAGCGUUAAUCGGAAUUACUGGGCGUAAAGCGCACGCAGGCGGUCUGUCAAGUCGGAUGUGAAAUCCCCGGGCUCAACCUGGGAACUGCAUUCGAAACUGGCAGGCUAGAGUCUUGUAGAGGGGGGUAGAAUUCCAGGUGUAGCGGUGAAAUGCGUAGAGAUCUGGAGGAAUACCGGUGGCGAAGGCGGCCCCCUGGACAAAGACUGACGCUCAGGUGCGAAAGCGUGGGGAGCAAACAGGAUUAGAUACCCUGGUAGUCCACGCCGUAAACGAUGUCGAUUUGGAGGUUGUGCCCUUGAGGCGUGGCUUCCGGAGCUAACGCGUUAAAUCGACCGCCUGGGGAGUACGGCCGCAAGGUUAAAACUCAAAUGAAUUGACGGGGGCCCGCACAAGCGGUGGAGCAUGUGGUUUAAUUCGAUGCAACGCGAAGAACCUUACCUGGUCUUGACAUCCACAGAACUUACCAAAGAUGCUUUGGUGCCUUCGGGAACUGUGAAACAGGUGCUGCA
rnacentral:rRNA from 1 species